AUGUAUAUACCCAUACAUCCUGUAUAUUGUGUAUAUACAUACAUACAUACAUAUAUGUAUACCUAUAAUGCACAAUAUAUGGGAUGUAUGGGUAUAUAUGGU
rnacentral:pre_miRNA from 14 species